rnacentral:lncRNA from 1 species
AGAGUUAUAGUUAUAGCAAUGGUGGUUUAUGGCAUAAUAACAUAGUGGUCGCAGUAGAAGAAAUGAAGAAGAUUUGGAGCCUCUUAAGAUUUCUUAACAUGGUGGUUUAUGGCAUGGCAUAAUAACAUUGUGCAAAUUUCUUAACAAAGCUUGGAGCCUCUUAAAAUUCCGACCUCACAAUUCACGCAUCUCCCCCAGCAGGAUUCAUUGAUCACCUCAAGAGCGACGCAAUUGGAACUUUCUUCCUUAGUGAAUAGUUGUCUUUUCUCUCUUGUCCUUGUUUGUUUUGAUUAGCCUUGUAACAAAAAAAAACACUAUUCAAAUCCUACCGACGACAUUUAUAUAUUUUUUUACAUUUUCUUUUCUCA